CUACGGGGGGCUGCAGUGGGGAAUAUUGCACAAUGGAGGAAACUCUGAUGCAGCAACGCCGCGUGGAGGAUGACACUUUUCGGAGCGUAAACUCCUUUUAUAUAGGAAGAAGAUGACGGUACUAUAUGAAUAAGCGCCGGCUAACUCCGUGCCAGCAGCCGCGGUAAUACGGAGGGCGCAAGCGUUACUCGGAAUCACUGGGCGUAAAGAGCGUGUAGGCGGAUUAAAAAGUCAGAAGUGAAAUCCUAUAGCUUAACUAUAGAACUGCUUCUGAAACUCUUAAUCUCGAAAAUGGGAGAGGUAGAUGGAAUUUCUGGUGUAGGGGUAAAAUCCGUAGGGAUCAGAAGGAAUACCGAUUGCGAAGGCGAUCUACUAGAACAUUAUUGACGCUGAGACGCGAAAGCGUGGGGAGCAAACAGGAUUAGAUACCCUUGUAGUC
rnacentral:rRNA from 1 species